rnacentral:SRP_RNA from 2 species
GAAGGGCUACAAAGCAAAAAUACUUAUUCGAAUCGGGUCAGGUCUGGAAGGAAGCAGCCCUAAGAUUAUUGUAUCUUGUGCUUUGUAUUACAUAGUAUU